rnacentral:lncRNA from 13 species
CUCCUGCUCCAUUGUGCAAAGCCCAAACGAAACCAACUUAAAAACCUGUCAUUGCGGGAACAGUUCUGCGGGGAGAAGGGGGGCUCUUCCACCUAAAUCGUUAGCACGGGCUCAUUGUGUUAAAAAUUCAAUAAGUAAAUAAUGGUAAACCGUGAACGAUUCCCCUUUAUUCCGUGAUUAGUGUCUGGUGUGUUUUCGCAUGUUCGAGUCUUUCCCUGCAUAUUUAUAAAUGCAGGUACACGUCCGUUUAUAUAUAGGCGUGUACAUCCCCUGGUUCACACCGUCGUGCACGCUGCUUUUUUUUCCCUCUCGGUGUGUCAGGAAGGCGAUUCCGAAUCCACUGGAUGGGAUUUUUAAUUUCGGAAGGCACGAGUUCCCCUGGCAUCCGCAAAUGUGACCCGCCGUUUAGAGAGGAAGAGGAGCGCAGACCACCUGCCCAGAGCCCCGGCCAGGAGGGAGGUGGGGAAGGGCUGGGCCCCUCUCGGCGUCCCGGGUUCCCGGCCAGAGUCUGCGGGAGUCUGUGAAGGCGGAGUUUCCGCGCCAGAGGAGCGGGUCCAAGCGGACAGACAGUUCCAGCCCCGCGCGAGAACGGCCCCAUCUCCUCUCGGUCCCCGGGCCCGCCUGCAGCAGCCCCGGCGCGGUUUCCCCUCCCCGCCGCCCGCGCUCGCUCCUCCUGCGCCCAGGACGGUCUCGGGCGCUGGAUCCAGGCGGCGACGGUGCAGAUGGUGGAGCACAGGGGACUGUCCUGGAGCCCGGGAAGGGCGGAAGCUGGAGGCGGCGGUUCAGAAAAGUUGUGAGGUCUCCAGCGCGGGCGGCAGCGGGAGCUGGAGCGGCGACGAAGAGGACCCGAGGGGACUCAGCCCGCCUGGCACCAACGACCGCGGGCGCCAGGGACCCGAUGCGCUGGGAGGACGCUGCCCCGGCAGGUGCGGCGCGCUGGGCCUGGUGCUUUGCGCCUUUCCCUGCACAGUGCGCUUACAGAUGUGGAAAGGAUCCAAAGGAAGACAAAUGAAGCAUGAAGCUUCUGUCUCUCUUCAGUGA